rnacentral:lncRNA from 1 species
UAAAAACGAAACAACCGCUCUCCAUUUACAUGUUGGCAUUGAUUAUUUAAAUACAAAUAUAUUUGUAAACACGUUUUGAAAGGAAACUAAUGAUUGGUUAAAAGUCUUCCUGUGGCAAAGGACAUGUUUUAUACAGAAAUUGAACAACAAAUAAAAUUGAGAAUGAAAAUGAAGAAUAUAUCAAAGAGACAAUACCGACCAAAGAGUAAACAGCCGAAGGCCACCAAUGGGUCUAUAUCGCAACGAGAACAUCCCUCACCCAAAAGCGGUCAUCAGCUGGCCUAUGAAUACAAUGGUGUGCUGCUUCAGUGAAAAUGGACGUCAAACUAAACUCCAAAACAUACAAAUCAACUAAAAUUAAACAGACAAUACAAGACUAACAAAUGCCGGAGGCUCCUAACUGGGGACAGACGCAAAAAUGCGGCGGAGUUAAAUACGUUUUAUGAGAUCUCAACUCU